UGGGGAAUUUUGGACAAUGGGGGCAACCCUGAUCCAGCAAUGCCGCGUGAGUGAAGAAGGCCUUCGGGUUGUAAAGCUCUUUUGUCCGGAAAGAAAUCCCUUGGGUGAAUAUCCCGGGGGGAUGACGGUACCGGAAGAAUAAGCACCGGCUAACUACGUGCCAGCAGCCGCGGUAAUACGUAGGGUGCAAGCGUUAAUCGGAAUUACUGGGCGUAAAGCGUGCGCAGGCGGUUGUGCAAGACAGAUGUGAAAUCCCCGGGCUUAACCUGGGAACUGCAUUUGUGACUGCACGGCUAGAGUGUGUCAGAGGGGGGUAGAAUUCCACGUGUAGCAGUGAAAUGCGUAGAUAUGUGGAGGAAUACCGAUGGCGAAGGCAGCCCCCUGGGAUAACACUGACGCUCAUGCACGAAAGCGUGGGGAGCAAACA
rnacentral:rRNA from 1 species